rnacentral:lncRNA from 1 species
AAGAAAAAAAAAAAGCCUCUGGCUUUCUCGACUUGUCCUCCUGCUUUCUCUCCCUCCCCCAGGCGGUCUCUCUUGCACUCGCGUGUGCUCCUCCCGCAUGGAGCUGUCAGCCGUGAAGCCCUGACGGGAAGCCAGGGGGCUCCCCGGUCUCGGAACUCUAGAACUGUGAGGUGCGUGUGCCCGCGCCCACAAUAUUGAUUAUGCCCCAAGCGUGCCGUAAGCAGUGCAGGCCACAAAGAGUUAAAUGCCUCUAUGGGCUCGCUUUAAAGAAGUCUGACUGAAGCUAUGUGACUUGCAGAGGUGUCUCCUGAGCACUGUGGUCGCUUGCAGGUUACCGUGACCUCCCCGCUAACGGCCACGGCUGAGACCAGAGUAAGGCCCUGUGAAGCUGUGGGGCUGGUUUGAGACAGCAUCCGUAGCUGAGUCAGAGGAAUCGCACCCAAAUUCCAGUCCCACAAUCAAUGCCUUCAUAGCUUGAAGGACAAGGCUCCAAUUGCAACCAUAUAUUUUGUCUCUUCUGUUCCUAAUUUGAAAGCACUUUGACUCUUCUCUUUGCAGCCUUGCCUGCCUUAGUUUCCAUGGUAAUUACACAUAUUACCUUUUACCCUGAUUGAUGAUGAUCAAAUUCGGUGACAGAGACGGGCCAGUGCCUUUUGCCGAAGGAGCAUUGGCUGUCCCAGUUCGCACUUUCUCUCUAACUCUGUCUUAAAGUUUUCUCCAACCCCGCGUUGCACACUGGGCAGGAACUAGACUUACUGCAGGAGACUUACUGCAAGAGUCUCUGGCAUACAUACACUUGUUCAAACAAGCAAAGAACCUGGUCUCAGAUAAUUUGUUGUAGUCGCAGAAAACUGGCUGAGAUGAACAUUUAAAGAAGAACUCCGGGGAUGCUGUUGCCUCUGUGUCUUGGGGGGUCCGGAAAGGGCCGCAAGAGGAAGCUGUGCCCUUGGCCUGGAGCUGCCCAUAGGCUGGACCCAAAAGGAAGCAGGAGCUGGGGGCAGGCGUUGCAGACCCUGAGGCUGAGAGCAAGGAGACCUGCAAGAUUGUGUCUCACUCGGAACUCGGCACCGGCCUUUAAGUGUGACAGUUUCGCUAGGCACCCCCGUGUCUCAUGCUAAUUUCUCUUGCACCACACACGGAAGGGAAAGUCUAAGAAAUGUUGAUGCUCAGCUAGGCUGACCUUGUACAAAGCUUCCUGAGCAGUCCAUCUUCUGUAGCUCUUGUCUUAAAUAAGACGGUUUAAAUAAGAGAGCUCGAAGUUUAACCUAAGGAUCAGUGUUAGAUAUCAGUAGAGGGAUGGACAGGGUCCGUGUAAAGAUUGGAAUAUGAAAGAGCUUAAAUUAACUAUGUGGAGGAUUUUAUUCAUAAAGCAAAGAUCAAGAAUGCCAGCAGGUUGGGCAGGCUUUGCUCGGGGACAUGGCUGAAUUCAGCAGUGAUGACAACAGCCCAG